GUCCAUAAUUUAUUCUGCUAAUGUGUUAAGUUACGGAAAAUGUGCUGUACAUAGUUUGAAGCAGAUACGAUUCUAACGUAAGUGAGCUAUUCUCUGCCACGCAAGCGCAGCAGCCGGAGUUUUUUGUAGCUGGAGUUUCAUAGCGUUGGCAGACUUUCCACUCGUGUGCAGCAUCCUUGAGUGCAAGUUAAAGUUACUGACAAAGUAAGUUCAUAACACGAUUCUAUGUUUAAUGGGGAAUGUUUGUACGCGCGGCAACUAUUUCUGGCACGAUGCCAAUAUUGCCGCUGUUUUUGUGAUCUGUAUAAUUAUCAGCGCACUCGCGCUAGCACGGAUGCUAAUAUCACUAAUAUUUGCAAUAUUAAUAUUUAAUUCUUCCCCUUAUGUGCAUGAUCCUAUAUUUUACAGUUUGUUAUCUGUUGUUAUGAUAAUGCAGCAUAAUGUGAUUUAUGCUAUUAUAUUUAUUUCCAUAGUUUAUAUCCUUGCUUUCUUAGUAUUCUAAGUGGAUAUAUGAGAGUUGUUGAUAAUGUUUCAUUUGUAAUUUACUGUUGAAUCAUAACAGUAUGUAGACAAGUUAUUUAUCUUGUUUUAUUUGUUUAUUACAGAAACUACCUCAGUUGUAUACUGUCAUGUGUACAAGGUUGAAACUUGCACAAAAUAAAAGUGGAAACGAAAUCUGAUGACUCCUCCCUGAUCAGAGUACUGAAGUGGUUAACACCAUUGAAAAACUAGCAAUCAGUGGGGCAAUCCCCAACAAAUGGUCCUUCGAGCCGGAUCUUGACUGCUUCAUAAUGUCAUCAGAUGAUAAACCAACAUCACUUCUCCAUGCUGAUACACAAGCAAGGCCGUCACGGCGAUGUCGAGCCCCCAGACACCUUGAAGAUUACAUCCUUGACAUCCAACACCGACCUGCCCUUUCCUCCAGUCCUGUUCAGAGGGAGUCAGAGGAGCAGAGAGGAGCAGCAGCCGCAGUGUAUACAAGUCAAGCAGAUGCAGCAUCCAUUCAAGGUAUACGUCGAGCCACGCCUAGUCCGAGUCAAGCAGAUGUAUUGAGUAUGGACUCAUUGACUAAACUCAUGGACUCCAUGAAUGCGAGGGAGGAAGAAGAGACAGUUGAAAUGGACAAUCUUCUCAGGAAACUAGAACAACUUAAGAAACGUAAGCACCGCCGAAACGAAAUGAUGGAACACAUCAAAUCUUUCUAGAGGGAGGAGGAUGAGGAGGACAAUGAACCAGUACAGGUUAUUGCAUCACCACCAUCUUUUCACGCAUCAUCUAGUUCAUUAAGCCCUCCGCCCAUACACCCACAUGACACAGUGGCAAAUGUCAGCACACAGGCUACGGUAUGCACCCCAGGGAUACAUGAAGAAAAGUCACAUGAGACAGGUGCUAUCUCUAAAGCAGAAUUACAGAGUUGCAAUAUUGGAUUCACUCCGAUCCAUACACAACAAUCCAAGACGGCAGGUUUACUGUAUUCUCCCCUCUCAUCUGGCAUAGCAUCUCCUGUUCCACAUCUUUCACAACAACGAGUAUAUGAGCCUUUCCCAUCUCAUUCUCCCAGAAUUCUGCCUGGUCAGGAACGAGCUUUGACUCAUGACACUGAACGAUCAUUCCAGCCCCUUAAGCUACAACAGCUGAUUUCGCCAUCACCUGUCUAUCAACAUCUUAUGGCACCGCACGGCUAUCUUGUAACACCACAUUCAAAGAUAGAGCCAGUGAAUGCAUUUACUUCAUCCAGUCAUGUCCCUCCUUAUCAAACAAUGAUGCCAUCAACGUUACCCUCUCAAAACAUGAUUCCUGGCUUACUCCCUUCCAUGAGCCCUGCUGCAGUUGUCGUCCCUCCACAGCUGUUACCAACCCAGACAGCAACCCCACCAGGUUCAGCUCAGCGGACAUUGUAUAGCCCCCCUAAACCUAAAAUUCCAGACUUCACAAGUGACAGUGAAAGAGAAUUUGCGAAUAUGAAGCUGGCAUUGGACAAUUUGCUUGAGCCUUACCCAGAACUAACAGAGAAGUAUAAAUAUCAUGUACUGUUGGAACAUCUUAAAUUGCCUGAAGCUCAGAUGAUAGCGCAGUCCUGUCGACAUCACCCAUACCCGUAUUCAGCAGCUAUGCAAGCACUUCAGUUACAGUACGGCCAGCCACAUCAACUGGCACAAAGUGAGAUAGCAGCCAUCCUCACAGCACCAGAUGUCAAGCCCAAUGAUGGUCACAGCUUUCAGAGCUUUGCUUUGCGAGUUCAUCUCCUGGUCAGUAUGCUGCUGUCCCUAGAAGGACCAAGAGGGAUGGAGCUUAAUUGCUGCUCACAUGUAGACCGCCUACUUAGCAAGCUGCCAAAGUAUCUACGGGAUGGCUUCAUUGAGUUCCUUCAACAGCAGGGAAAGCUUAACUCCAUAAGUCUCAACCCUUAUAAUCUACAGGACUUUGCUGGAUGGCUGCAGGUUAAGGCACAGCAGCAGAGACUGUCCAUUCGGUUAGUACAGCGUUACCAGCACGAGAGACUUCCAGGGAUCAGUAAAGAGAAACCCCCAGUUAAACCAAAGGGUUCGAAUCUAGUUGUUUAUCAUGGUGCAUCCCAAGCAGAGACAGCGCUCUCUACCUCUCCUAAAGAGCUAAAGCUUAAGAAACCAUUCAAGGUACACUGCCUCUUCUGCAACAGUAAAGAGCACUACAUUACCCGUUGUGAUAAAGUCAAAGAGCAGUCGGUAACUGACCUUCAGAAGUGGAUUUCUGAUGGAAAGAGAUGCUGGCGAUGUGCACGAUUACAUGUACCCGAGAUAUGCAACCUCAAAAAGCCAUGCGGUGAAUGUGGUGGAAUACAUCUCCAGGUGCUUCAUCGUAUAGCCAGUGAUGAUCCAACAAACUGUACAUCAAGCACAUCAGAGAGUCGCAUUUACCUUAUCCCUGCUAAUGUGACCUGCAGAGUGCUUCUCAAAGUGGUACCAGUGCUGCUACAUAGCGAGUUCAGGUCAGUGGAGACUUAUGCUAUACUGGACGAUGGAGCGCAGAGAACCAUGAUUUUACCAAUAGCCGUCCACAAGCUUCAGUUGGAGGGUGAACCUGAAACACUGGCUCUACGUACAGUAAGAUCCGACAUCACUCACCUUUCCGGGUUCAAGAUUAACUUGGAAAUUUCUCCAAAGAGUGAACCAGGGAGGCGCUUCCAGAUACGUGGGGCCUUUACAGCUUCGGGUCUGGACUUAGUAGAGCAAUCAUAUCCAGUGCAGAGACUUCAGAAACGUUACGCUCACCUCAGAGAGCUUCCGUUACAGUCAUUCCACAAUGUGCGUCCUAUGGUGCUGAUAGGAUCAGACUACGUCCAUCUUAUCACAGCAGAUCGGCCAGUCCGUCGAGGAACCAAAGGUGGUCCAGUUGCAGUGCACACAGCCCUGGGGUGGGCCCUACAAGGGGCAGAGGACUACACGCCAAGUCACAACUCAGUGCAACAGUGUCUUUUCGUUUCAACUGAAUGUCCAAAUGACUUGCUCUGUCGUAAUGUUGAGAGAUUAUGGCAGCUUGAUGUCCUGCCAUAUCGGAAUGAGAAAGUAGUGGUUCGAUCCAAAGAAGAUCAGGAGGCAAUUAAACUUCUUGAAAGCCGAACGCAGAGAAUUGAGGUGGAGGAAAUCCAACGGUAUGCUACCCCCCUCCUCCGCAGACCUGGAGCUCCAAAACUCAUAAGUACAAUUCAAUCCGUUAUGCCUAGUCUGAGGAGCACAGAGAGGAAACUUCAGAGAGACCCAGAGAAAGCUGCUAUCUACUCUGGUGAGAUUAAUAAGCUUAUUAAAGCAGGUUAUGUUAAGAAACUCCAACCUGAAGAAGUUACCAACUCAGAGGAGGCAUGGUACAUUCCCCACCACCUGGUGUGCCACAAUAAUAAACCAAGGCUGGUCUUCAAUUGCUCAUUCAAAUAUCAAGGACUUUCACUGAAUGAUCAGCUUCUGCCUGGCCCUGCUCUUGGCCCAUCAUUGGUGGGGGUCCUUUUGAGAUUCAGACAACACCAAGUGGCUGUUAGUGCGGACAUUCGCGGAAUGUUCCAUCAGGUCCGUCUGUUGCCUGAGGACAGACCUCUACUCCGCUUCAUCUGGCGAGACUUACACUGUGAGAACUGUCCAGACGUCUAUGAAUGGCAGGUUUUGCCGUUUGGUACAACUAGCAGCCCAUGUUGUGCCAUUUUCGCUGUGCAACAGCAUGCUCGGAAUAACCAAGAGAAUUACCCAGAUGCUCUACAAACAGUGCAGCAGAAUUUUUAUGUGGACAACUAUCUGGCAAGCUUUCCAACCACAUCCGAGGUCAAGCUAACAAUUGAUCAACUGCGCUGUCUUCUAUCAGAGGGUGGAUUUGACCUCAGACAAUGGGCUAGCAACCAACCAUCAGUGAUAUCACACUUACCCACAGAAGCAAGGUCCUUGGCGGCAGAACAAUGGUUGGGGCAGAGCAAGACUGAUCCAAUGGAGCCAACAUUGGGUCUCCGGUGGAAUUGUGCUGCUGAUACCCUAGGAUACCACUAUCGUCCCAUUGAAUAUGCCGCACUAACAAUGAGAACAGCUUAUCAAGUGCUAGCCACGCAGUAUGAUCCUUUGGGCUUCAUCGUACCUUUCACCACCCGAGCAAAAGUGCUCAUUCAACAGCUAUGGUCCAAAAAAAGAGAAUGGGAUGACCCAAACUUGCCGCCUGAUCUUCAUGCUGCCUGGAACACCUGGGAAAGUGAGUUACAGCAUCUCAGCGCCAUAACCAUUCCUCGCUGUUAUUCAUCAGUUCCCAACAAUGCUCACCAAAAGUAUGACCUCCAUGUCUUCUGUGACGCAUCUGAGAGAGCGUAUGGGGCAGUGGCUUACUUAGUAGAGACCACCAAAGAUGUCAUUCAUACUUCCUUUGUAAUGGCUAGAUCGCGAGUUGCUCCCAAGAGGCAACAGUCCAUGCCACGCUUGGAAUUAUGCGCAGCAUUGGCGGGAGCACAGUUAGCAAAGCUUUUGCAUGACGAACUCACUCUUACCAUCCAGCAGACAAUUCUCUGGACAGAUUCUACAACUGUGUUAGAGUGGCUUCAGUCCGAUUCAUGUAGGUUCAAAGUCUUUGUUGGAACACGAGUCUCAGAAAUACAGGAGUUGACAGAGCACAGUGCUUGGCACUACGUGGACACGCAGCAGAACCCAGCAGACGAUAUCACAAGGGGUAAAUCACUCUUAAGUUUUUCUGGGCCUGGUCGUUGGAGUCAGGGGCCAUCAUUUUUAAAAUUGGGUCAUGAGCACUGGCCAAAGAGACCUGAACAGGUAAAGUCCGAAGAGCUACCUGAACUGAAAGGUUUCACUAUCUGCUGCCUAACCAUUACAGAGCCAGAUCAAACCCUUCCAGAUGUUACUCAGUUCAGCACAUGGAAAGAGUUGGUUGAGGCAACUAGACAGACAUGUCGGAAGGUAACAGAUGAUUCGGAAAACACCCAGCUCAUAGAUCACCGUGAAGCAGAAUUGCUACUACUGAGAAAGUGUCAAGCUCAGAGCUUUCCUGAGGAAAUAACAGCUCUUAAAACACACAAACAUAUACCAAUCCACAGUCGACUAACAUGUCUUGCUCCAGAGUGGGAUCCAGAGACUAAUUUACUCAGAGUUGGAGGGCGAUUACGGAGACUGGAAAGCCCAAGUGUGGAACAAAUUCAUCCAAUAGUGCUAGAUCCACAGCAUCCAGCGACAAAGCUUCUCAUUAAAGACUUUGACGAGCGCUUGUUGCACCCAGGUACAGAACGAGUGUAUGCAGAAAUACGGAGGCAAUACUGGAUCUUACGAGGACGCCAAGCUGUUAAACACCACCAGCUUAACUGUGUAUCCUGUCAACGAUGGCGAGCGCAGCCCAAGGUACCACCAAUGGCAGAUUUGCCACCAGAGCGGCUCAGGCUUCUCUGCCCACCAUUUUAUUCUACAGGAGUGGACUGUUUCGGCCCGUAUCACGUUAAAAUAGGCAGAAGGAUUGAGAAACGUUGGGGUGUCAUUUUCAAAUGCCUCACCACAAGAGCUGUCCACAUAGAGCUUCUCAACUCCAUGGAUGUGGACGCUUUCCUGCUUGCUCUCCGGCGAUUCAUAGCCAGACGUGGCAGACCAAAGGAGAUCAGGUCCGAUUGUGGUACAAACUUUCGUGGUGCUGAACGAGAACUGCGAGAAGCCUUUGCAGCUAUGGAACCCCAAUUAAAAGAGCAAUUAGCCGAUUACCAGAUCAUCUUCAAAUUCAAUCCGCCUAACGCUCCUCAUUUUGGUGGCGUUUGGGAGCGAGAGGUCCGCUCCAUUAAAGCUGCUCUCCAAGUGGCAGUAGGAAGCCAGUCUGUCUCUGAAGAUGUCCUGUCUACAGUUUUAGUGGAGGUAGAGUGCAUCUUGAAUUCAAAACCCCUUGGAUACGUCUCAGCAGAUGUUGCAGACCUCGAUCCCAUUACACCAAACCUUCUCCUCAUGGGGCGGCGGGAUGCAUCACUUCCGCAGGUGGCAUAUGCCUCAGGAGAAAUGGGGCGGCGCAGAUGGCGACAUUGUCAAAAUCUUGUGGACCAGUUUUGGUGUCAAUUUACAAGGAACUACUUACCAGUACUUCAGACACGCCAGAAAUGGCACAAACCAUCUGACAAUUUGGCAGUAGGCUCAGUGGUCUUGAUAAUUGAUCCACAACUUCCUAGAGCUCAUUGGCCUAUUGGUAAAGUGGUUAAGACUGUGGUCAGUAAGGAUGGAUGUGUGAGAACAGCAGAUGUCCUUGUCAAGGGCAAAGUGUACACAAGGCCAGUUGCCCGCCUGAUUCUGUUGCCAGCCUUUGAGGAUGAUACUAAAGACUCUUAAAGAAUUCAUUUACUUACACAUUUACUACUCAAAUGUGGGGGCGGCUGUUGUGAAUUCUUUAUGGUUUUUCUCUUAUUGUCCAUAAUUUAUUCUGCUAAUGUGUUAAGUUACGGAAAAUGUGCUGUACAUAGUUUGAAGCAGAUACGAUUCUAACGUAAGUGAGCUAUUCUCUGCCACGCAAGCGCAGCAGCCGGAGUUUUUUGUAGCUGGAGUUUCAUAGCGUUGGCAGACUUUCCACUCGUGUGCAGCAUCCUUGAGUGCAAGUUAAAGUUACUGACAAAAAACUACCUCAGUUGUAUACUGUCAUGUGUACAAGGUUGAAACUUGCACAAAAUAAAAGUGGAAACGAAAUCUGAUGACUCCUCCCUGAUCAGAGUACUGAAGUGGUUAACACCAUUGAAAAACUAGCAAUCAGUGGGGCAAUCCCCAACAACUCUCGUCCUACCUCAAACGGCC